ACUGGCAGACUAUUGCAAAAAGGGCACGGGGCAGAGGGACUAUGUUGUGAGCCUGCGAAAGAAGUUUGUGUGGGGACUGUGGGCAGUGAACGCGUUGGGAACAAUAUGGAAAACUGGGAGCCGCCUUGGAAUCUACAGGGCCGGGUAAGAGAAUGUCCGAAAGAAAAAUGAGCAGGUGCGGGAUGUGCGCAGAGUCGGAGAAGAGUCCAGGGCGCCCGGAGUGGCUCCAGGAACGACGGAAACCCCUCAGGGCUUUUGGGGGCGGUGGGUACUAAUAGAACCCAGUGUCCGGGGUGCGCCGGGGAGGCUGCGAGCGCGGCGGGAGUGGGGCGCUGGAGGGUGAGGACGCGGGAGUGAGGGAGCAAAGCCGGGCAGGGGCCUCCCAGCUGGGCCCGGAGGCAGCAGGCGGACAAGGGCCAGGAGAGGGCGCGGCGGCGGCGCGGCGGGAAGCGAGGGGCAUCCGGACACUCGCCCCGUUGGCCGCGGCCAUCGGCCCCCCGACCUCGACGGCCGUCCUGCCGAAGUACCUGCCGUCGCUGCCCACCCCCGUGGUGCGGCCCUGACGGUCGCGCAGGUCGACGGACGACAGCGCGCUCCGGAUGAAGUUGGGCGGGUAGCUGCGCUGGCCCUGGAAGAGGCCGGUGGGUCGCCGGUCCUCGCAGGGCGCGGUGGGCACUGUCCGCACCGGGAUGCGACUCCCCUCCGCGGCGCCUCCCGGCCGGUCCUGCUGCGGCUCCCGGGGCCGGAGGGAAUCUGCAGCCGGCCGGGGGCCUCCGCCAGCCUGGCUGCGCGCCGGGACUCCGCCUCGCGCCCGGGCCCCUCUCCAGCAGGUCGGCGCCCCGCGCCCUGCACCCGCCCGCCUGGGGACCGCCCGCCCCUCCUCUCCGCGCGGCCGCUCGCUGACUCCCUCGGCAGGGAUCGCUUCUGCCUCGCUGCCAAGUUUUCUCCCGCCCACCUUCUCCGCUGCCAGACCGCCCGAGCUGCCCUCAGUUUCUCCCCAAGUUGGACUCACUUUCGGGGUGUCCCACAAGCCCGAUCCCAGAGCCUGCUAGCCCGACCCCGGCGACGCCUCCACCCGCGCCUGGCCGCAGCCUCCACCCGCGCUCGCCGCCCUCCGGGGCGCACCCUCCGCCAGAAAACAGCCGGCGGGCGGCGAGACUUCGGGCAGAGUGCGGGCUCCUCUCCGGCGCCAGGCCCGUCCCCUGUCUCCCUGGGAGUGCGCAGCCUACACGCACCAGUUUCUCUUUAGAACAAGGACUGGGAGGGAUUUGCGAGGGGGCUGAAACCUUUUGCCAUCAGCGAACAGCCUCAGCCAAAAACAACCCUGGAAAGGCGAGCUAAGAAUGGUUAUCUCCUGCCAGCGCUGAAAUCGGAGGCCGGGCGCUGCGUGUGGGGUGUGUGUGUGUGUGUGUGUGUGUCUGUGUACCCUCCCACCCCGACCAUUUGUUGAAGGGAAUCACCACUGUCAGACUUCAAUCCAACAGGACCCACUCGAGCCAUCCACACUUGCCCCAGCCUCCUCCAAAACAGCACACUUUCCGGUAUGGACAAUUCUUUUUUUUUUUUUUUUUUCACUUAUUUGUUUGUUGUGGUGGUUGCAACAGCAGCAACACAGACGACACAUAUUUCCCUAUUCUUCUCGCCCUUCUCACCCUCCCUACCCAGCUCCUGCCUUAGAAACAGGCUUGGCCUACACUGUAUCUGUCCACACUGUCUGAACUCUUCCCUGAAUUAAUCGUUUUCAGUAGGAGGGGGCUAAAUCCCUUAUUAAUGCCCUACCAGGAGUGAAUGAAUAAAGCCAAGUUAAAGGAGAACUGGGUACCAGAUACUGUGCUAGGUUUCUUUGCAUGUACCCUUUCAUUCUGCUGGAGCUAAAGAUUUUCUGCCUCCUCUCCAUAAAACGCACCCAAACUCCAAAACCAGGAAAUUCUCCAUAGAAAAUAGGAGUGAAGAGAGAAAAGACUAACAGGAUAAAACCCAAAGCAGGAAGAAAGUUCUAUCUCCCAUUUCUCUCAAGGAAUUUUUGGACCCACCAAGGCUACUGUCCUGAAAUAUCCUGCUGCUUCUCCUUCCCCAAAUAUUGUCCACUUCCUGAGAGUAAGGCUGACUUGCCACAGGCUUAUAAAGUGUUUGGUCACAGUAAGACAACUGUGAGUAAUAACACACAUUGUAUACUGUUUUGCAAUUGAUAAAAGGCUUUGCAUCUGUUUUUCCUUUGGAGGCUGAAGAAAAGAAGAAUGGUAUUCACGCAGUUCCCAUUUUACAGAUGAAAACAAGAGGACUUUUUCUGUGAAGUCAAGAAAGUGGUUACAAUGGUACUUUCAGCCUGUCCGAAUUAUGUAUUGCCCCUCCCCUUUUUAUUAAUAACAUUGAAGUGUGAUGGGACAACCACUGAAGCCGUCAGUUGAAACCUGCUGGGACUUUUUAGCCAUUCUCUUCAACAUAAAGAAUGGGUGUUUUUGGAGGGGGUGAGAGGAAUGGGGAAAUGUUGUCAAAGAGUACAAUGUUUUAGUUGAGACAGGAAGAAUAUAUUUUGUUGAGAUCUACAGCACAGCAUGGUGACUGUAGUUAACAAUGAAGUAUUGUGUAUUUCCAAAUUGCUAAGACAAUAAAUUUCAAAUGUUCUCACCACAAAAAAGAUAGGUUUUGAGGUGAUGAAUCUAUUAA
rnacentral:lncRNA from 10 species